CUCCUGAAAUAAUCUUUCCGAAGGUCCCGCGUAAACCUUAUGCAUGCGUGUAUGCGCAGCCGGAGACGAGCUCGUUUCAAUGAGUGUCUGUGCUCUAUUAGGACCUGUUCGCUUUUUUGCUCCAUCGUCUUCUCUUAUUUCCAAUUUUAACGCCUUAAAUAGAGCAUUCAUCAACCGAGUCUCCGCUGGAAGGCAUUUUCGGAGCUACAACCCUAUGGCUUCAUCCAUGUCUUCUUCAUCUAGUACCAACAAAGACGUCCCAGAAGUAGCCGAGCAGCUCGCCAAAAUCACUGCGCCGUACGGCUCCUGGAAGUCGCCAAUUACUGCCGAAGUUGUUACUGGUGCCUCCAAGCGCCUUGGUGGUACUGCUGUCGACGGCAAUGGGCGCCUUAUCUGGCUCGAAUCACGCCCCACCGAAUCCGGGCGAGGUGUGCUUGUUAAGGAGUCGAAUAAUCCAGGGGAUGAGCCCAGUGAUAUUACUCCGAAGGAGUUUUCAGUUCGGAACACGACGCAGGAAUACGGCGGUGGUGCAUUCACCGUGGCCGGAGACAUCGUUGUCUUUUCGAAUUACAAGGACCAAAGACUUUACAAGCAAUCUUUAAUUUCAGAUUCGCCUCCGCAGGCACUAACUCCCGAUUACGGUGGAAGAUCAGUCAGUUAUGCAGAUGGGGUGUUUGAUUCUCGUUUUAAUCGUUUUAUUACCAUCCAGGAAGAUGGACGUCAAAGUAGCUUGAAUACAAUCACCACAAUCGUGUCAGUAGAACUUGACGGAAAGGAUAUUAAUGAUCCAAAGGUUUUAGUUGGAGGAAAUGAUUUCUAUGCCUUCCCACGAGUGGACCCCAAAGGGGAACGGAUUGCAUGGAUAGAGUGGGGUCAUCCUAACAUGCCAUGGGAUAAAUCUGAGCUCUGGGUUGGCUACCUUUCUGAGAAUGGAGAGGUCUACAAACGAGUCUGUGUUGCUGGUGGUGAUCCAAAGCUUGUGGAAUCUCCCACUGAACCGAAGUGGUCUGCUCAGGGAGAACUAUACUUUAUUACUGAUAGACAGAGUGGGUUUUGGAAUCUUUUUAAAUGGUUUGAGGGUAACAAUGAGGUGGCUCCAGUAUACUCUUUAAACGCCGAGUUUUCCCGACCCUUAUGGGUUUUUGGCACAAACUCUUACGAAUUCUUAAGGAUUGGUGCUGGGAGAAACGUCAUACUCUGCAGCUACAGACAGCGUGGGCAAUCAUAUCUUGGAGUUUUGGAUGAGGCGCAAAGCUCACUAUCCUUGCUUGAUAUCCCUUUCACUGAUAUUGAUAAUAUUGCUCUGGGAAAUCAUUGUAUAUAUGUGGAAGGAUCUUCGGCACUUCAUCCACCAUCUAUUGCCAAGGUGACCUUAAAUGAAAGAACCUUGAGAGUAGAAGGUUUCACUAUUAUCUGGUCUUCUUCUCCGGAUAUUUUGAAAUUUAAGUCGUAUUUCAGCCUUCCUGAGUUCAUUGAAUUUCCUACUGAAGUUCCUGGCCAAAAUGCUUAUGCCUACUUUUAUCCACCGUCCAAUCCUAUUUACCAGGCUAGUCAGGAUGAAAAGCCUCCGUUGUUGUUGAAAAGCCAUGGAGGACCAACUGCUGAAACACGUGGAAAUUUAAAUCCUAGCAUUCAAUACUGGACUAGUCGAGGCUGGGGUUAUGUUGAUGUCAAUUAUGGUGGUAGCACUGGUUAUGGGAGAGAGUACCGAGAAAGGCUUUUGAGGCAAUGGGGAAUUGUUGAUGUCAAUGACUGCUGCAGUUGUGCAAGAUUUUUGGUGGACUCUGGAAAGGUUGAUGGAGAACGAUUAUGCAUCACUGGUGGCUCUGCUGGGGGAUAUACCACCUUAGCUGCUCUUGCUUUUAGAGAUACUUUUAAGGCAGGAGCUUCCUUGUAUGGGAUAGCUGACUUAAGCUUGUUGAGAGCAGAUACACACAAGUUUGAAUCUCAUUAUAUUGACAAUCUCGUUGGGAACGAAAAAGAUUACUUUGAAAGGUCACCAAUCAAUUUUGUUGACAAAUUUUCUUGCCCUAUAAUCCUAUUCCAGGGAUUGGAGGACAAAGUCGUACUACCUAAUCAAGCUCGUAAGAUUUAUCAUGCAUUGAAGGAUAAGGGUUUGCCUGUUGCUCUAGUCGAGUAUGAAGGAGAACAACAUGGUUUCCGCAAGGCAGAAAAUAUUAAAUUUACCCUGGAACAGCAAAUGAUGUUCUUUGCUCGAUCAGUAGGACGCUUUCAAGUUGCAGACGAUAUUAACCCCAUCAAAAUCGAUAACUUUGACUAAGGAUCUAAUGUGCUGAAAAUUCAAAGAGAUGGAAAGACAACGACAAGAAGACUCCUGAAGAAAAUUUCAAGAUGGGCAUCAUGAUGAUUCGAGCCUUUUCGAAAAAGGUAUAUAGGUGGGUGAGGUUUUCCCGUUUUAGGUGGAAGAGAUUGCAAGGACCACUCUUCUUGAUUAGAAUCAAAUUCCUUCAGAUUAAGACAAAUUUGAAACCUCUUACUCACCUACCAUUCCUUUCAACAUGCCAAAACUUAGAAUCUUCCAGCUUUCACUUUGCAAAUCAACUGGUGAUUGGAUGUUUACUCAGUAUCUCUUUUGUGGGGGAUGGCUGGUUUAGAUUCCUUCCAUGAUUUUUUCAUAGAAUUAUGUAUCAUUUUUGUUGCAAUUGAACCUUUUUUGAUA